rnacentral:rRNA from 1 species
AGGUAAGCUACUAAGAGCGAAUGGUGGAUGCCUUGACUGGUAAAGGCGAUGAAGGACGUACUAGACUGCGAUAAGCUACGGGGAGCUGUCAAGAAGCUUUGAUCCGUAGAUUUCCGAAUGGGGCAACCCAAUGUAUAGAGAUAUACAUUACCUAUAUAGGAGCGAACGAGGGGAAUUGAAACAUCUUAGUACCCUCAGGAAAAGAAAUCAAUAGAGAUUGCGUCAGUAGCGGCGAGCGAAAGCGCAAGAGGGCAAACCCAGUGCUUGCACUGGGGGUUGUAGGACUGCAAUGUGCAAGAGGUAAGUUUAGCAGAACAUUCUGGAAAGUAUAACCAUAGAGGGUGAUAGUCCCGUAUGCGAAAAACAAACCUUAGCUAGCAGUAUCCUGAGUAGGGCGGGACACGAGGAAUCCUGUCUGAAUCCGGGUCGACCACGAUCCAACCCUAAAUACUAAUACCAGAUCGAUAGUGCACAAGUACCGUGAGGGAAAGGUGAAAAGAACUGAGGUGAUCAGAGUGAAAUAGAACCUGAAACCAUUUGCUUACAAUCAUUCAGAGCCCUAUGUAGCAAUACAGGGUGAUGGACUGCCUUUUGCAUAAUGAGCCUGCGAGUUGUGGUGUCUGGCAAGGUUAAGCAAACGCGAAGCCGUAGCGAAAGCGAGUCUGAAUAGGGCGCUUAGUCAGAUGCUGCAGACCCGAAACGAAGUGAUCUAUCCAUGAGCAAGUUGAAGCUAGUGUAAGAACUAGUGGAGGACUGAACCCAUAGGCGUUGAAAAGCCCCGGGAUGACUUGUGGAUAGGGGUGAAAGGCCAAUCAAACUUCGUGAUAGCUGGUUCUCUCCGAAAUAUAUUUAGGUAUAGCGUUGUGUCGUAAUAUAAGGGGGUAGAGCACUGAAUGGGCUAGGGCAUACACCAAUGUACCAAACCCUAUCAAACUCCGAAUACCUUAUAUGUAAUCACAGCAGUCAGGCGGCGAGUGAUAAAAUCCGUCGUCAAGAGGGAAACAACCCAGACUACCAGCUAAGGUCCCUAAAUCUUACUUAAGUGGAAAACGAUGUGAAGUUACUUAAACAACCAGGAGGUUGGCUUAGAAGCAGCCAUCCUUUAAAGAAAGCGUAAUAGCUCACUGGUCUAGUGAUUUUGCGCGGAAAAUAUAACGGGGCUAAAGUAAGUACCGAAGCUGUAGACUUGCACACAACUUAGAUUAUUUAAGUUUAGAAUAUGAGAAACUAAGUUAUAUGUUUAGUUAUAUUUUUACUGAUUUUUAUAGAGUAAAGAUAGAAAUAAAACUUAGUAAAAUCAGUAAAAAUAUUCUUAGACUAAAGUUAAGUAGUUUAAGUUGUGUGCAAGUGGUAGGAGAGCGUUCUAUUUGCGUCGAAGGUAUACCGGUAAGGAGUGCUGGAGCGAAUAGAAGUGAGCAUGCAGGCAUGAGUAGCGAUAAUUAAUGUGAGAAUCAUUAACGCCGUAAACCCAAGGUUUCCUACGCGAUGCUCGUCAUCGUAGGGUUAGUCGGGUCCUAAGUCGAGUCCGAAAGGGGUAGACGAUGGCAAAUUGGUUAAUAUUCCAAUACCAACAUUAGUGUGCGAUGGAAGGACGCUUAGGGCUAAGGGGGCUAGCGGAUGGAAGUGCUAGUCUAAGGUCGUAGGAGGUUAUACAGGCAAAUCCGUAUAACAAUACUCCGAGAACUGAAAGGCUUUUUGAAGUCUUCGGAUGGAUAGAAGAACCCCUGAUGCCGUCGAGCCAAGAAAAGUUUCUAAGUUUAGCUAAUGUUGCCCGUACCGUAAACCGACACAGGUGGGUGGGAUGAGUAUUCUAAGGCGCGUGGAAGAACUCUCUUUA